GGUAGCGUGGCCGAGUGGUCUAAGGCGCUGUGUUAAGGCCGCAGUCUCUUUGGAGGCGUGGGUUCGAAUCCCACCGCUGCCA
rnacentral:tRNA from 1 species